rnacentral:rRNA from 1 species
AGAGUUUGAUCAUGGCUCAGGAUGAACGCUAGCUACAGGCUUAACACAUGCAAGUCGAGGGGAAACGACAUCGAAAGCUUGCUUUUGAUGGGCGUCGACCGGCGCACGGGUGAGUAACGCGUAUCCAACCUGCCCACCACUUGGGGAUAACCUUGCGAAAGUAAGACUAAAAAAAUCCCAAUGACGUCUCUAGAAGACAUCUGAAAGAGAUUAAAGAUUUAUCGGUGAUGGAUGGGGAUGCGUCUGAUUAGCUUGUUGGCGGGGUAACGGCCACCAAGGCGACGAUCAGUAGGGGUUCUGAGAGGAAGGUCCCCCANAUUGGAACUGAGACACGGUCCAAACUCCUACGGGAGGC